rnacentral:lncRNA from 1 species
AGAGGACCAAGGUGGAGGAACUUCUCUCACUACUUUCUCUCUAAAUGGUCAAAUUUUUUACUCACCUAGUACUGAAGCAAGUUGGCAUAACAUGUUAGCAUUCUAACCAAAACAUCUCUGAAGGAGACAAGACUGGAGACGAUAUAGGCUGACGACCAGCCUUGCAAUCAAAGACCAUAGCCCAGCUCAAAAUAAUUGUCACCUCACCAAAAGAAACCAAUUUUAUUUUUUCUAUAUUCAUCCUAAACCUAUAAAAGAAAAAAUGAAAAAGGAA